AUGGGAUCGAUCAAGAGGCAGGAGUACUCCUACGACGACGAGGACGAUUUCUACAUCCGGAACGAUGAUGACCUUCUAGAGGCCCCGACCCUCAGCAGCGAGCAAAUGGCGCGCGCCAGGGAGGAAGCUCUGUACGUGCUGAAAACCAAGUCCCCUGAAGAGGCUUUCAAGAUUUUCACCGAGGGUUCCUAUUACAAAGUUGACGGUCCGCCAUUUGGACCGGAGAAGAAGGACAAGUCCCCGACCACUGCAACGCCUCCAGCAGCCCCCGCCAACGUGAAGGAGCAGCCCCAGACCACCGUGCCGCCAUCAGGGAAGUGA
rnacentral:rRNA from 1 species